rnacentral:rRNA from 1 species
UACAGAGGUGCCGAGCGUUAGGCGGAAUCACUGGGCUUAAAGCGUGUGUAGGCGGAUGCCUAAGUACCUUGUGAAAUCCCACGGCUUAACCGUGGAACUGCUUGGUAUACUGGGUGUCUUGAGCCACUUAGGGGCUACCGGAACAAAUGGUGGAGCGGUGAAAUGCGUAGAUAUCGGAAGGAACACCAGUGGCGAAAGCGGCUUCCUGGUCCAGCACCGACGUUCAGGCACGAAAGCGUGGGGAGCAAACAGG